AUGAACGCUGGCGGCGUGCCUAAUACAUGCAAGUCGAGCGAACAGACGAGGAGCUUGCUCCUCUGACGUUAGCGGCGGACGGGUGAGUAACACGUGGAUAACCUACCUAUAAGACUGGGAUAACUUCGGGAAACCGGAGCUAAUACCGGAUAAUAUAUUGAACCGCAUGGUUCAAUAGUGAAAGGCGGUUUUGCUGUCACUUAUAGAUGGAUCCGCGCCGCAUUAGCUAGUUGGUAAGGUAACGGCUUACCAAGGCAACGAUGCGUAGCCGACCUGAGAGGGUGAUCGGCCACACUGGAACUGAGACACGGUCCAGACUCCUACGGGAGGCAGCAGUAGGGAAUCUUCCGCAAUGGGCGAAAGCCUGACGGAGCAACGCCGCGUGAGUGAUGAAGGUCUUCGGAUCGUAAAACUCUGUUAUUAGGGAAGAACAAAUGUGUAAGUAACUAUGCACGUCUUGACGGUACCUAAUCAGAAAGCCACGGCUAACUACGUG
rnacentral:rRNA from 1 species